UGCUCUGAAGAGACGAAACAGAAAACUGAGAUCACCAGAAAGUUGCACACUGAGUGCAUGCGCGGAAUGUCGAAAAGUGCCCGAUCAAUACGUCAACGUGACCGGCAGAAACAUUUCAGAUGGACCCCUGGAGGUGAGCGCAGCUUUCAGAGUGCACAUCUGACAUUUCAGAUGAAAAGCCAGCUACGGCAUGAAUGCCAGCGCCUUCAAAUAUGCCAUGCGGCACAAGAAGACAUCAUCAGAUAAUCCCUGACACAUCUUGUACACUAUUAAUGAUGUCCGUUUCACAUCAAAUCAGGUAAGGAGAUGGGGAAAAAAAGCUAAAUACUUUGCAGUCCAUUGCCAACAAAUUAUGGAAUGCACUUGUGAGCCAAUGGGGCUGCUUGCCAGCCGGUGAAAGAAUAACAUUUCAAACAUUUGUUUCGGCAGGCUAAAACAGAUUUUUGGCUGUUUUGUGUAAAAUGUACUUCUGUAUAUGUAUGAAUGUAUGUGAAUUACCGGUACUUGUAUGUGAAUCUUUUCUGUGAAAAGUGCUGUAUGAAGAAAAUAUAUAUAGAACAGAGUGCAAGUUGAUCUGCGUGUUCAAACCCAUCCCCGAGGAACACGCCCUUUUCAACACACCGGACCAUUACAUUCAUUGAGCUGUGUUAUCGUCCCUUUAUUGUUUUGUGUCUUAUUUUUGCAGUUUCUUUGCUAGCUGCAUGAUGAAAAAGUUCCUUUCAAUCCAGUGGUCAAAAUCUUUGAGGAAAUGCAUCGAUGAAGACCCCAUAAAAUGGUGGUGGCGAUUGGGGCAGGCUGAACCCCUUAAUUUGCAUGAAAUAAAAAUAAAACAAAAAUCUUAAGAUGGCUUCAUGUUCAAAAACUAAGAGCAAUCAAUCACCACCAAAAUGGACAAGCACAACACCACCUACGCCACAAUAUUUUGGAUUUCAAAGGCAUGAAGCAUUGUUGUUAUUUAGCUUGCGUGCGCACCUAUGGAGAGCAAGACGGGAAUGUCCAUAAAAUGUCAAAUAUUCAUAGGAUUGUUUUGACAUUUUCAGAGGUUGAAGUGAACAGAAAGAGACGUGAACAAUUUUCUGACAUGAAGCCACGUUACGCUUUUUUACGUCAAGCGUUUUAGACUGUCCCUGUGGAUUUCCAUUUUAGACGGGCAUUUGCUCUGGUCUAAGUACGUGUGUGUAUAAAGCCUUUACCUGGCAACUGAGGGCAUACUUUCUCAGCCAAAUACUGUGGAAGGUUACGUGGCAUCUCCCCCCUUAUAUCCACAAGCACCCGAGUGUGGCUUGAGGAGAUCUGAUAGAUGAGCACAGGGCUCGGGUUGGCCAGCACCAAUUCCGCGUGGUUGGCUUUAAACUGGGGGCAGUCCUGUCAAGUACAAGCCAAUUAUUAGUGGAAGAAAAAAUGAAGGUUUGUCACAUUGUCUCAUAUACUGUACCAUUUAAUUUCCCUUACGCUGCAAUCUUGUUGUUGUUGUGUGUGUGUGUGUGUGUGUGUGUGUGUGUGUGUGUGUGUGUGUAUGUGUAGGAGUGCGUGUGUGUGUGUGUGUGUGUGUGUGUGUGUGUGCUGGGAGAAGUGGGCUUGGCUUUUGAAAAAAAUCUGAGAAAUCUACCUUCAUGAGGCAUCCAACAAAGUGAGAAGAAACGUAAGCUUUCCCAGCCACCAGCCUCUUCCUGAAUUUGGAAAAACAUCCAUCAGCCACCACUGUCAAAGCCGCGUGCACUUCCUGGAAGACAUCUCCAUCAGCAACUUCACUCAUUAAAAUAAAUCAAUAAAUAAAUAUAUGCUGUACUUACAAGACAAU